rnacentral:SRP_RNA from 1 species
CCUGGGUGCGGUGGCAUUUGCCUGUAGUCCCAGCUACUCGGAGGCUGGGGUGGGAGGGUCGCUGGAGCCCAGGAGUUCUGGGCUGUAGUGCACUAUGCUGAGUGGGAGCUCACACUGAGUUCAGCAUCACUAUGGUGACCCCCUGGGAGCAGGGACCGCCAGGUUGCCUAAGGAGGGGUGAAGCUGCCCAGGUCAGAACAGAGCAGGUCAAGACUCUCGUGCUGAUCAGCAGUAGGAUCACACCUGUAAAUAGCCCCUGCAUUCCAGCCGGGGCAACAUAGUGAGACCCCACCUCU